rnacentral:rRNA from 1 species
GACGAACGCUGGCGGCGUGCCUAAUACAUGCAAGUAGAACGCUGAAGGGAGAGCUUGCUCUUCUGGAUGAGUUGCGAACGGGUGAGUAACGCGUAGGUAACCUGCCUGGUAGCGGGGGAUAACUAUUGGAAACGAUAGCUAAUACCGCAUAACAUUGACUAUUGCAUGAUAGUUAAUUGAAAGGUGCAAAUGCACCACUACCAGAUGGACCUGCGUUGUAUUAGCUAGUUGGUGGGGUAACGGCUCACCAAGGCGACGAUACAUAGCCGACCUGAGAGGGUGAUCGGCCACACUGGGACUGAGACACGGCCCAGACUCCUACGGGAGGCAGCAGUAGGGAAUCUUCGGCAAUGGACGGAAGUCUGACCGAGCAACGCCGCGUGAGUGAAGAAGGUUUUCGGAUCGUAAAGCUCUGUUGUAAGAGAAGAACGAGUGUGAGAGUGGAAAGUUCACACUGGACGUAUCUACCAGAAAGG